rnacentral:rRNA from 1 species
GAUGAACGCUAGCUACAGGCUUAACACAUGCAAGUCGAGGGGCAGCAUGAAGGAAGCUUGCCUCCUUUGAUGGCGACCAGCGCACGGGUGAGUAACGCGUAUCCAACCUUCCCCAUAGUAGAGAAUAGCCCGGCGAAAGUCGGAUUAAUUCCCUAUGUUGUUUGAUGCUGACAUCAAAAUCAAACCAAAGAUUCAUCGCUAAGGGAUGGGGAUGCGUCUGAUUAGAUAGUAGGCGGGGUAACGGCCCACCUAGUCAACGAUCAGUAGGGGUUCUGAGAGGAAGGUCCCCCACAUUGGAACUGAGACACGGUCCAAACUCC